GGGGCCGUAGCUCAGCUGGGAGAGCGCCGCCCUUGCACGGCGGAGGUCAGGGGUUCGAUCCCCCUCGGCUCCA
rnacentral:tRNA from 2 species